GAGUGGCGAACGGGUGAGUAACACGUGGGUGAUCUGCCCUGCACUUUGGGAUAAGCCUGGGAAACUGGGUCUAAUACCGAAUACACCCUGCUGGUCGCAUGGCCUGGUGGGGGAAAGCUUUUGCGGUGUGGGAUGGGCCCGCGGCCUAUCAGCUUGUUGGUGAGGUUACGGCUCACCAAGGCGACGACGGGUAGCCGGCCUGAGAGGGUGACCGGCCACACUGGGACUGAGAUACGGCCCAGACUCCUACGGGAGGCAGCAGUGGGGAAUAUUGCACAAUGGGCGCAAGCCUGAUGCAGCGACGCCGCGUGAGGGAUGACGGCCUUCGGGUUGUAAACCUCUUUCGCCAGGGACGAAGCGCAAGUGACGGUACCUGGAGAAGAAGGACCGGCCAACUACGUGCCAGCAGCCGCGGUAAUACGUAGGGUCCGAGCGUUGUCCGGAAUUACUGGGCGUAAAGAGCUCGUAGGUGGUUUGUCGCGUUGUUCGUGAAAACUCACAGCUUAACUGUGGGCGUGCGGGCGAUACGGGCAGACUGGAGUACUGCAGGGGAGACUGGAAUUCCUGGUGUAGCGGUGGAAUGCGCAGAUAUCAGGAGGAACACCGGUGGCGAAGGCGGGUCUCUGGGCAGUAACUGACGCUGAGGAGCGAAAGCGUGGGGAGCGAACAGGAUUAGAUACCCUGGUAGUCCACGCCGUAAACGGUGGGUACUAGGUGUGGGUUUCCUUCCUUGGGAUCCGUGCCGUAGCUAACGCAUUAAGUACCCCGCCUGGGGAGUACGGCCGCAAGGCUAAAACUCAAAGAAAUUGACGGGGGCCCGCACAAGCGGCGGAGCAUGUGGAUUAAUUCGAUGCAACGCGAAGAACCUUACCUGGGUUUGACAUGCACAGGACGUAUCUAGAGAUAGGUAUUCCCUUGUGGCCUGUGUGCAGGUGGUGCAUGGCUGUCGUCAGCUCGUGUCGUGAGAUGUUGGGUUAAGUCCCGCAACGAGCGCAACCCUUAUCUUAUGUUGCCAGCGCGUAAUGGCGGGGACUCGUGAGAGACUGCCGGGGUCAACUCGGAGGAAGGUGGGGAUGACGUCAAGUCAUCAUGCCCCUUAUGUCCAGGGCUUCACACAUGCUACAAUGGCCGGUACAAAGGGCUGCGAUGCCGUGAGGUGGAGCGAAUCCUUGUUAAAGCCGGUCUCAGUUCGGAUCGGGGUCUGCAACUCGACCCCGUGAAGUCGGAGUCGCUAGUAAUCGCAGAUCAGCAACGCUGCGGUGAAUACGUUCCCGGGCCUUGUACACACCGCCCGUCACGUCAUGAAAGUCGGUAACACCC
rnacentral:rRNA from 1 species